rnacentral:rRNA from 1 species
AACGAACGCUGGCGGCAGGCCUAACACAUGCAAGUCGAGCGAGGACUUCGGUCCUAGCGGCGGACGGGUGAGGAACGCGUGGGAACGUGCCCUUUGCUUCGGAAUAGCCCUGGGAAACUGGGAGUAAUACCGGAUGAGCCCUUUGGGGGAAAGAUUUAUCGGCGAAGGAUCGGCCCGCGUUGGAUUAGGUAGUUGGUGGGGUAAUGGCCUACCAAGCCGACGAUCCAUAGCUGGUUUGAGAGGAUGAUCAGCCACACUGGGACUGAGACACGGCCCAGACUCCUACGCGAGGCAGCAGUGGGGAAUCUUAGACAAUGGGGGAAACCCUGAUCUAGCCAUGCCGCGUGAGCGAUGAAGGCCUUAGGGUUGUAAAGCUCUUUCAGCUGGGAAGAUAAUGACGGUACCAGCAGAAGAAGCCCCGGCUAACUCCGUG